UGGGGAAUAUUGGACAAUGGCGAAAGCCUGAUCCAGCCAUGCCGCGUGUGUGAAGAAGGUCUUCGGAUUGUAAAGCACUUUAAGUUGGGAGGAAGGGCAUUAACCUAAUACGUUAGUGUUUUGACGUUACCGACAGAAUAAGCACCGGCUAACUCUGUGCCAGCAGCCGCGGUAAUACAGAGGGUGCAAGCGUUAAUCGGAAUUACUGGGCGUAAAGCGCGCGUAGGUGGUUUGUUAAGUUGGAUGUGAAAUCCCCGGGCUCAACCUGGGAACUGCAUUCAAAACUGACUGACUAGAGUAUGGUAGAGGGUGGUGGAAUUUCCUGUGUAGCGGUGAAAUGCGUAGAUAUAGGAAGGAACACCAGUGGCGAAGGCGACCACCUGGACUAAUACUGACACUGAGGUGCGAAAGCGUGGGGAGCAAACA
rnacentral:rRNA from 1 species